GCCGCUGCUGCUGGUGCUUCCGCCGCCAGAGCCUCUACCGCCUGGGCCUCUGGGCGGUAGAGGCUCUGGUGGCGGAAGCACCAGCAGCAG